rnacentral:rRNA from 1 species
GACGGAGGGUGCAAGCGUUGUUCGGAAUUACUGGGCGUAAAGGGCGCGUAGGCGGUCUGUUAAGUUCGGUGUGAAAGCCCCCGGCUCACCUGGGGAACUGCGCCGGAAACCGACAGACUCGAGUACCGGAGAGGAGGGUGGAAUUCCUGGUGUAGCGGUGAAAUGCGUAGAUAUCAGGAGGAACACCGGUGGCGAAGGCGGCCCUCUGGACGGAUACUGACGCU